UACAGAGGGUGCGAGCGUUAAUCGGAAUUACUGGGCGUAAAGCGUGCGUAGACGGUUAUUUAAGUCGGAUGUGAAAGCCCCGGGCUCAACCUGGGAACUGCAUUUGAAACUGGCGGGCUGAGUAUGGCAGAGGGGGUGGAAUUCCGCGUGUAGCAGUGAAAUGCGUAGAGAUGCGGAGGAACACCGAUGGCGAAGGCAGCCCCCUGGGCCAAUACUGACGCUCAGGCACGAAAGCGUGGGGGAGCAAACAGG
rnacentral:rRNA from 1 species